rnacentral:rRNA from 1 species
UGCGUAGGCGGAAUGAUUAGUCAGUGGUGAAAUCCUGCAGCUUAACUGUAGAACUGCCAUUGAUACUGUCAUUCUUGAGUACAGUUGAAGUGGGUGGAAUGUGUCAUGUAGCGGUGAAAUGCAUAGAGAUGACACAGAACACCGAUAGCGAAGGCAACUCACUAAACUGUAACUGACGCUGAGGCACGAAAGCGUGGGGAGCAAACAGGAUUAGAUACCCUGGUAGUCC